rnacentral:rRNA from 1 species
CCAAUAGCGUAUAUUAAAGUUGUUGCAGUUAAAAAGCUCGUAGUUGAAUUUCGAGACCGGUCUACUGGUCGUGCUUUUGUACGUACUGGUUUUAUUGGUUUCUCCUUUCUGACGAACUAUAAUGCCAUUAAUUUGGUGUUAUGGGGAAUCAGGACUGUUACUUUGAAAAAAUUAGAGUGUUUAAAGCAGGCUCACGCUUGAAUACAUUAGCAUGGAAUAACGGAAUAGGACGUUUGAUUCUAUUUUGUUGGUUUCUAGGAUCGACGUAAUGAUUAAUAGGGAUAGUUGGGGGCAUUAGUAUUCAAUUGUCAGAGGUGAAAUUCUUGGAUUUAUUGAAGACUAACUACUGCGAAAGCAUUUGCCAAGGAUGUUUUCAUUAAUCAAGAACGAAAGUUAGGGGGUCGAAGACGAUCAGAUACCGUCGUAGUCUUAACCAUAAACUAUGCCGACUAGGGAUCGGAUGAUGUUAAUUUUUUAAUGACUCAUUCGGCGCCUUACG